GCCAACGGCCAUACCACGUUGAAUACACCGGUUCUCGUCCGAUCAUCGAAGUUAAGCAACGUCGGGCGUGGUUAGUACCUGGAUGGGUGACCGCCUGAGAACCACACUAGGUAUCUACU
rnacentral:rRNA from 1 species